UAGCAAUACAGGGAGAUGGGCGCACGGCGCACGGGUGCGUAACACGUGGGCAAUCUGCCCUCCGAUGGGGAAUAACCCCGCGAAAGCGGGGCUAAUACCGCAUAACAUUCCUUGGACGAUGGUUCGAGGAUUCAAAGCAGCAAUGCGUCGGAGGAGGAGCCCGCGCCCGAUUAGCUAGUUGGUGAGGUAACGGCUCACCAAGGCAAUGAUCGGUAGCUGGUCUGAGAGGAUGAUCAGCCACACUGGAACUGAGACACGGUCCAGACUCCUACGGGAGGCAGCAGUGGGGAAUCUUGCACAAUGGGCGAAAGCCUGAUGCAGCGACGCCGCGUGGGGGAUGAAGCUUUUCGGAGUGUAAACCCCUUUCGCCUGGGACGAAUGCCCGCAAGGGAGUGACGGUACCAGGAUAAGAAGCCCCGGCUAACUACGUGCCAGCAGCCGCGGUAAGACGUAGGGGGCCAGCGUUGUUCGGAAUUACUGGGUGUAAAGGGUUCGUAGGCGGUGUGGCAAGUCGGGAGUGAAAUCUCUGGGCUCAACCCAGAGGCUGCUUCCGAAACUGCUGUGCUUGAGUGUGAGAGAGGCUCGUGGAAUUGCAGGUGUAGCGGUGAAAUGCGUAGAUAUCUGCAGGAACACCCGUGGCGAAAGCGGCGAGCUGGAUCACUACUGACGCUGAGGAACGAAAGCUAGGGGAGCAAACAGGAUUAGAUACCCUGGUAGUCCUAGCCCUAAACGAUCAGGACUUGGGGUGCCGCCCGUUCGGGCGUCGUCCCGGAGCUAACGCGUUAAGUCCUGCACCUGGGGAGUACGGUCGCAAGACUGAAACUCAAAGGAAUUGACGGGGGCCCGCACAAGCGGUGGAACAUGUGGUUCAAUUCGACGCUA
rnacentral:rRNA from 1 species